rnacentral:rRNA from 1 species
UACCUGGUUGAUUCUGCCAGUAGUCAUAUGCUUNUCUC